UUUGCGACUCAGAGGGUCGCUUAGUUCAAUUUUCUUCUUAGAUGUUAAAAUACACUAAGUGACAUUUGCGACCCUUUGGGUCUCUUAGGGUCGCUUAGUUCAAUUUUCUUGUUGAUGUAAAUAUACACUAAGAGACCUAACACAACUUAGAGUCACUUAUUUCAAUUUUGUAAUAAAUAUUUGCACUUAUUAUUUACAUUAAUUUACAUUGUAUUUUGUUUGUUUGGAAAAUUAUUUCAGAUUUCUAAAACUAUUUUGACAACAGAGCUUCCUUGUGUCUCGAGUGUUAUUAUAAAUGAAAAUGUUCGAAGGAAAUCUAAAGUUACCAUUAGGUCUUUUAUGCAAAUGUUUGAAAAAAUAAAUUCAUGGUUAUAAAAAACUGACGAGAAUGCUUUCAGAAAAUAUGGUCAGUUGGGUCAUUUGUUGGACCUCUCUUGGAAAGGGAAGUUUUGGGGGACCUUAUCACACCAGAUAAUUGCAAGGAUGAUAAAUUGUCAAAAAAAGCAUGAGUUGUGGUUUUGAUAAAUGACAAACUUGUGAGGUUCUCUAUCCAAGAGUUUGCAAUAGUAAAUGGAUUAUACACUGAUGGCGAAUUAACAUCAGAAGAACUAAAUGUGGUUUCAUCAAACAACAAUUUAAAGAAUAAGUACUUCAAGGAUAGGUCUAUAAAAAUAGAGGAUGUAGAAAAUGUGCUAGAUAAUAUACCAAAAGAGGCGAGAACGAAAGACAAAGUGAAGUUGUGCUUUAUCUACCUACUAAGUGCGUUUCUGUUAUAUUCAAGUGCCGGUACUACAAUAGAUUUAUCUUGGCUACAACUAGUGGACAAUUUGGAAAUAUUUGAUAAAUAUCCUUGGGGGAGGCUGGUAUAUGAGAAGAUUAUAGAUCAAAUCACUCGAGUAAAGUUCCGGAAAGAUCAUAAUAAAUAUAUUAUCAGGUGGAACUUCAUAUGUUGUCCUUGGAUAUUUCAGAUAUGGAUCUGUGAAGUAAUGUCAAAAUUGGGAGAAAUGCUUGGACAAAGAAUUCCAGGAAAUCAUAUUCCAUGAUGGAUUGGUUGGAAAAUAAAUGUUAAGGUCCAAAAUAUCAUAGUUGCAAGAAUAUCCAAAGUAAUAGAAGAAGAUGAUGACGUAUUUAUCCACUUAUAAAAAUUGCUUAUGAAUUUUUUAAAAUGCAAAUAUAUUUGGUUAUGUUAACUCAUUUUACUUUUAUUUAUUUGGUUUCUCAGUUCUUUGUGCGACCUACUCUAGUUCCAAGUGCGGAAGAGAAGGCAGCAAUGUCAUCCUGUGUAAUAAUCCUCGUAUUGUUCUACGCCAGAUUCCCCACUUCCAUCUCCUCAUCCACCAUUCUUAGAGGGUCCUUCAACCCAGGUCUUUGUAGAUUCUUCUAUGCCACCUCCUCAGUUUACUCCAGUUCGUUCUGUGCCAUCCUCACAAUCUGCCCCAACUGAUCAUGUUUAUAGUGAAUUAUUUGAAUCACUAAAAUGUUUCAUGGCUGACCAAGAAAAACUGCACAUAGCGAGAUAUGAGAAGAAUGAACGUUUGAAUAAAGAGAGGUAUGAGGAGAUGAAACGUUUGAAUAAAGAGAGGCAUGAUGCAAUAAUGGCAGCCAACUCUGAGAGUGAGUUUCUGAAUAGAGAGAAAUAUGACAUUAAUGGAAAAGUUUGAUGUUUUGACUGACAUCCUUCGACCUGUGCAUGCACAUUUUUCUGGGUGUGAAGAUCCACAAAUGAAUUCACCACACCUCAAGGAGAGCAUAAUAUAGAUAGUGACCCUAAGGUAACUGAUAUGGCUGCACAACCUUCCAGAGACGCAAUCACCACACCAUCUCAUUCACCUCCACAUACCUCUGAGAUACCACCAUCAAUUAUUUAUGAAGGGGUUGGUAACGAAGAACCUGGUGAUGAGGUAGAACAUGUAGUUCGAGAUGGCCAACCCUUGAGAUUAAGAAAACGCACUCAAAACUUGUUAUCACUUUUCAUAUCAUGGCCAAAGAAACGUUGAUACUCAAAGAUAGAACCUCCUACUUUCGACCCUUUUAGGCCGCCUAUUGAAGAGGAUGUGUGGUACAAUGGGGAUACAUGUGGUAGACCCAUCAUUCGCUGCGACCUAUUAUUUCGAGAAAGAAGUUUUUUUGAGACUUUGUUGGCAAAGCAAGAAUAUUUUGAUAGUGAGCAUGUGGAUGAAAUAACUUAUAUAUUUAGAAAACGAAUAGACAAAUUUCAAGACAUCUUUCCACAAGAAGAUGCAUUUUGACUGAUGAGUUUGGGAAAUAUGUUCGUAAGUUAUAUUGCAAGUCUCGAGAGACUAGCACCACCGUAUACAAAAAGUCUCCACAGCUAAUGUCAUUUGUUGAUGCAAUUAGACUCAUUAGAGGGAGAGCUUGGUCCAAAGUGAAUUACUUCUAUGUGCCAUAGAACAAUAACAACAAACAUUGGAUGGCAUUGGCAGUAGACAUUAGAAUGUGGACAAUAUGGAUUUAUAACUCCAAUCCAGAAUAUUGGAUCUCCAUAGAAGCAAUGGAAAGAUCAGUGCAACCACUUGCAUAAUAUUUUCCGCUAUUACUUCAUGAUAGUGGUCAUUUUAAUGAAUUUCGUGCUCAGUGUAUGUACUUCAUGAAGAUAGAAGUUUCCCCCGCAGAUACUGUUCCUCAAAGCAAUAGAAUGGGAGAUUGUGGUAUAUUCAUGCUGAAGACAAUAGAAAUGCACAUUGCUGGUAAUGCAACAAGUCAGCUAGAACGUUGCUAAACGACGACAAUUGCACUAAGAGAUCUUAAGGGUCGCCUUAAAGAAUUUACACCUAAUUUAUUAGAAACCCUAAAAUUGCACGAAGAGACUCUAAGGGUCGCAUUGAAGCAUUUACACCUAAUUUAUAAGAAACCUUAAAAUUGUA